rnacentral:rRNA from 1 species
UACGUAGGGCGCAAGCGUUGUCCGGAAUUAUUGGGCGUAAAGAGCUCGUAGGCGGCUUGUCACGUCGGGUGUGAAAGCCCCGGGGCUUAACCCCGGGUCUGCAUUCGAUACGGGCUAGCUAGAGUGUGGUAGGGGAGAUCGGAAUUCCUGGUGUAGCGGUGAAAUGCGCAGAUAUCAGGAGGAACACCGGUGGCGAAGGCGGAUCUCUGGGCCAUUACUGACGCUGAGGAGCGAAAGCGUGGGGAGCGAACAGG